UACGUAGGGUCCGAGCGUUGUCCGGAAUUACUGGGCGUAAAGAGCUCGUAGGUGGUUUGUCGCGUUGUUCGUGAAAACUCACAGCUUAACUGUGGGCGUGCGGGCGAUACGGGCAGACGUUGAGUACUGCAGGGGAGACUGGAAGUUCCUGGUGUAGCGGUGGAAUGCGCAGAUAUCAGGAGGAACACCGGUGGCGAAGGCGGGUCUCGUGGGCAGUGAACUGACGCUGAGGAGCGAAAGCGUGGGUAGCAAACAG
rnacentral:rRNA from 1 species